rnacentral:rRNA from 1 species
GCGUAACGCGUAUGCAACCUGCCCCCAUCAGGGGAAUAGCCCGCCGAAAGGCGGAUUAAUGCCCCAUAGGCCCAGGGCGCCGCAUGGCGCUAUGGGUAAAGCUCCGGCGGAUGGGGAUGGGCAUGCGUGCCAUUAGCUAGUUGGGGGCGGUAACGGCGCACCAAGGCGACGAUGGCUAGGGGGUCUGAGAGGAUGGUCCCCCACACUGGUACUGAGACACGGACCAGACUCCUACGGGAGGCAGCAGUGAGGAAUAUUGGUCAAUGGGCGGAAGCCUGAACCAGCCAAUGCCGCGUGCAGGAUGACGGCCCUACGGGUUGUAAACUGCUUUUCCCCGGGAAGAAUAAGCCCCUCGUGAGGGGUGAUGCCGGUACCGGGGGAAUAAGGAUCGGCUAACUCCGUGCCAGCAGCGGC